rnacentral:rRNA from 1 species
UACGUAGGGGGCAAGCGUUGUCCGGAUUUAUUGGGCGUAAAGAGCGUGUAGGCGGUUAGGUAGGUCCGUUGUGAAAACUCGAGGCUCAACCUCGAGACGCCGAUGGAAACCAUCUAACUAGAGUCCGGAAGAGGAGAGUGGAAUUCCAAGUGUAGCGGUGAAAUGCGUAGAGAUUUGGAGGAACACCAGUGGCGAAGGCGACUUUCUGGACUGUAACUGACGCUGAGGCUCGAGAGCGUGGGGAGCAAACAGG